rnacentral:rRNA from 1 species
UACAGAGGUGGCAAGCGUUGUUCGGAAUUACUGGGCGUAAAGGGCGCGUAGGCGGUCUUGUAAGUCUCGUGUGAAAUCCCUCGGCUUAACCGGGGAACUGCGUCUGAUACUGGAUGGCUUGAGGUUGGGAGAGGGAUGCGGAAUUCCAGGUGUAGCGGUGAAAUGCGUAGAUAUCUGGAGGAACACCGGUGGCGAAGGCGGCAUCCUGGACCAAUUCUGACGCUGAGGAGCGAAAGCCAGGGGAGCAAACGGG